rnacentral:rRNA from 1 species
CUACGGGAGGCUCCAGUGGGGAAUAUUGCACAAUGGGCGCAAGCCUGAUGCAGCCAUGCCGCGUGUAUGAAGAAGGCCUUCGGGUUGUAAAGUACUUUCAGCGGGGAGGAAGGGAGUAAAGUUAAUACCUUUGCUCAUUGACGUUACCCGCAGAAGAAGCACCGGCUAACUCCGUGCCAGCAGCCGCGGUAAUACGGAGGGUGCAAGCGUUAAUCGGAAUUACUGGGCGUAAAGCGCACUCAGGCGGUUUGUUAAGUCAGAUGUGAAAUCCCCGGGCUCAACCUGGGAACUGCAUCUGCUACUGGCAAGCUUGAGUCUCGUAGAGGGGGGUAGAAUUCCAGGUGUAGCGGUGAAAUGCGUAGAGAUCUGGAGGAAUACCGGUGGCGAAGGCGGCCCCCUGGACGAAGACUGACGCUCAGGUGCGAAAGCGUGGGGAGCAAACAGGAUUAGAUACCCCGGUAGUC